rnacentral:rRNA from 1 species
AUUGAACGCUGGCGGCGUGCCUAACACAUGCAAGUCGAGCGGCAGCGCGGGAGCAAUCCUGGCGGCGAGCGGCGGACGGGUGAGUAAUGCUUGGGAAUCUGCCUGUUAGGUGGGGGACGAACCCGGGAAACGUCGGGCUAAUACCGCAUACGCACUACGGUGGAAAGCCGGGGACCGCAAGGCCUGGCGCUAACAGAUGAGCCCAAGUCGGAUUAGCUAGUUGGUAGGGUAACGGCCUACCAAGGCGACGAUCCGUAACUGGUCUGAGAGGACGACCAGUCACACCGGAACUGAGAC